GCACGUCUGUCCAGCAGUAGCGCACUGCUGGCGGACAGUCAGCUAGUCCAAGCCCGUGCGGUACCACGGGCUUGAAGCGUUUAGUCUUGCCGAUAAAUCCCAUCAGGGUCAAGUCGGUCCAUGGGAUGGAAAUGCUGCUUUUUCACUUUGCUUUUUGCAAGACUCAAGUAGCUUUACGUUUACUUUGCUGGAGGAGACGUAGGCUUGCACAGGGUGCGUGCUGCAGCUUAGGGGAGCAUACAAGGGUUGGUUGCCUGUUAGUUUGCUCCCGCGUCUCGAUGUAUGCAUGAUUAUUUUGUGUGUUUUUCACAGGAACCCUUCUCCACUCGCUGCUCCGCCUGCCUAAUGCUCCAGAAACUGGUUGGGGCUAUGUAACGGAGGGCCACUUUAUCUGUAGGGCAGCUGCUCUUUUUCGCUGCAGAAGAGGAAAGGUGUGGUGAAAGCUGGAGGGGAUUAGAGGGAAAGAAAGGAUGGCUCCUGGUGAAAGCAGCUUUCAAGACAAAAAUUCUGUGCCUGGCUUUGCAAAAGGGUUUGUGUCAUUGUUAACAAGACACUUUGCAGGCGAUCACCCCAUACAUAGUCUUUUUUUUUCUGGGCACCGGUGUCAGUACUCUGAGGUGUGAUUUGCAGAAGCGGUCAAUAUUAGCAGCUGUUGAAAGCUGCACUUUGAACAAGCAAAGUGCUAUAUAAUUGCAAGUACUGUGGAAAACCCAUCCACAUCUGAAGCCGGGCCCUCCUGAUAACGGAAACUGCCUAAUUUUGGCUUUGUUCUGCCUGUGCUUGUGUUCCCCACUGAGCAGAAAGGGCAAAUGAUACCUCCCUGCCUCAAAGGGGUGUGAUAAAGGUAAGUUCCUUUGGCUUUGCAGUCUGUGAGUUGAUCUGGUACUGAUCAAUACUGAUCAUCUCCAGAAGCAAAGGAAGAAGAAAAAAUUCUCUGAGGGAUGUACUGAGUAGAUAUUCAUGCGGCGUUUGGAAGGUACACAUAGGUUAAGCUUGGAUUACGUGCAGAAUGGUGAAUGAAAAAGAAACCUAUAUGCUGGAGGAGAAGGGAAAGUUGUAAGAGAGAGCGUAAUUAAACUCUCUAUGCGUAUGUCCAAAGGUUGGAAUUAAAGUCACUCAUAGUCCUUAAUUCUGCCAGUUCCUGACUUGAUUGCUCAGUUUUCCGGCCUUUUUUUCUCCGCCAUUUUGUAUGAAACUACAUUGGCAUGCUGUCUUGUCACAAAAAACGCUGGGUUGUUAAGUAGUUUUGAUUUGCUGGUGCUGAACAGAGCCUCUCCUUUGCCUCAGACUUCCCUUAUCUUCCACAAGACCACGAGAAGUCCAAGGGCGAGGAGGGUGAGAGGAUGUUUUAGAAGCUGUAUUAAAAUAGGGCUGGCAGGGCCAUCAGCUGUGUUCCCCCAUUGAAAGGUGGGACUGGCUAAGCCAGGCCAUUUCUCACCCCGAUUUUCAACCCAGCUGGCACUGGGCAGUCUGCAGAAAGUUGAAAGAAAGUAAUUCAGUUGACACUAAACUUAAAACUGCUAUUUGAUGGUCCUAACCUAUGAUAGUAUGUUUCAGGGUCCACACAGCAAAGAGCAUCUAUAUUUUUUUCCAAGUUAAACAAUUGAUCAAAUCAGCUUUCUAAGAUCUCCAAUGAUGGAUAUUCAGAGCCUACUGUUAGAUGCUUUUCCUCCUGUUGAGCCCAUAUUUCGCUUGCUACCAUCUAAGUCUGUUGCUUUUUGUCUUACAGGCGUGCUCUGGGAGAGGAGAUCUGGAAACAGUUUGUUCUCUUCCUUAUUGCAGUGCUUUUACAUAAUCGAAGACUGUUCUUGGGUCUCUCCUGCGUCCUUUCCUAAACAUAUACAAAGCCUUCCGCCAAGGGUAAUUUUUAGCUGUCAUCUUGUUCUUGUUGCUUUCUCUAGACUCUUUCUGAUGAGUCCAUCUCCUUCCUGAAUCCGAAGUUAUGGAAUCCAAAACUGGGAAAAGUACCUUCGCUGCAAUCCUGCCAGGCUUGAGUAGAAGGACUGCAAACAACACAAGGGCCUGUACACCUAAAAUGCUGAUUUUUUGUGACGGCACGCUGUUGACUCAUGCACAGUUUGUAACUGUGUCUUCCCAGCUCCUCUUUGGUAGAAACUGCUGCCGAAACAGUCAUUUCUUGCUCUAUGUCUGUACAGAGGCUUCUUUCAGCUUUACCCCAGAAGCUUGCAUUCAUCCUGAGUGAGUUGCAGUUUAUCUCUUUCCAGAUUAUUUCUUGAGUUUGUCAAGAUCAGUCUCGAUUCUCAUCCCAUCCCUCUGUGCUUCCAGUCCUGCCCAGGUAUGUGCCAUCUGCGAGUUAAAUAAUUCAUACCCCUUAUCGAAUCAUUGAGUCAGACAGGGAAGAGUGCAGUACGCAGGGCAGACCUCUUCAGCACCUCACUUGAUGAAGCCUACCAGAUCGACUGUAAUGCUAAUUAAGUAGACUAAUUACAGAAGUCAUAACCACUUCCUCCUUGAGGCUGUGAUUUUUUCCAGUCGCUGACUUCUGUUUCUCCAUGCUUUUUCCAAGUAGGCCAUACAGAACCUAAACAGUAGUUCUUGCCCUUUUUUAAUAGUUUUAGAAUAUCCAUACUAUUAAAAUACCGCAGUACAAAUUUUGCACAAAGCUUUGUGAUAUACAUCUUUUUUUGUACAUGGUAGGGCAGCAGAACACCAUCUAACAUUUAUGCCUUUGCCUCCUAAGUAGGACAUAGCAGAAUAGCCCGUCAACAGGCGUUCUCCUAAAUAUUAAAGUUAUUUUUAUUGGUUUAUAUGGAUUGUUUUAGUGGUCAUGCCCUUACUAUCUGUCGGCUCUCCUUUUUAGGCACCCACAGUCUUGGCUUAGCCAUGAGUGUCUGAUGUAGAGAAAAAAAUGUGUUCUUGUAAAUCAGCCUUUCCAAAUCCUGGUAAGGUAGAAAACUGGCCAUAAUCUAACUGGCCAAAGAAAGGAUAUUGGAUGAACUAUGAUGUUCAUCAAGCAUGUUUCCUCUAGCAUAAACGGGAUAUCUGUUUAAGCACAAACAUAAAGACUGCAUCUAGUGAUGUUAUAAGCUCCAUGGGCCGAUUGAUUUUGAAAUGGAGGCUUUCCCUUGUAUCCCCAAAUCUUCAAGGAUCAUUACAUAAAGGUACAAAGAUUAUUUUUGUCAUGCAGUAAUUUAAAUAGUCAACCAAAAUACUUGCAUGAACUUUAUUAGUGCCAAUUAUGUUUUAGUCUAAAUUGGCACUUGUCUGUGCUCUUUCUGCUGCCCUUUUUCCUCUCCUGCCAUCCCUAUUUGUGUUUGUGUUCUGUCUUUCCCUCCUCCCGUUACUUCGGCGGGUUUGAUUUUCUGCGGCAUCAUUUCUGCCUUGCUGCCGGUUGUUUCGUACAAGUUGGGAUCUCGAGGUUAAACCUGGCCAGCGCUCAAAUUUCAUUUUUCUGAUGGAAAAGGUAUGACUGUGAGUUUUCUGGCUUUUGCCUGUCAAGAGUUUUUAACUUGCUGCAAGUCAUCUUAUGUUCUCAAGCAUGACAAACUGCAACUAUUUUAAAUGGGGAAUAGCAUUGUCCUCAGCGGGUGAAAUCCUGUUUCUUUUUGCAAGUCAGCAAGACUCUAAACAUUGGCGUACACUCGCAUCUUCUACCUGAGCUGUUCCUGCUCCCUCCAGAUAAGUUUUAGGCACCUCUUUGUAUUUCCUGGGUGGGGAGCUAUGUAUUUUACUGUACAGAAAGUGUUUCGUGUAUCCUGUCAUAACGUAGUUGUGUCGCCGUCUCUUUCCCAGCCGUGCUGCAAGCAGUGCCCACCCAGUGGUGCGUGAUAACUGACUGAAGAGCUCUGGGUUUGCUUUUUUUUCCAAGUCCCGGAAGCUUCAGCCACAUUGAAAGUUAAUUGGAUUUUCCUUAGUAAGGUUUUUAUUGCAAGGUGAUCUGACAGUUUGGUGCAGCUAUAACUAUAAAGAAGUUCCUCCUAUUCUAUGCAGGUUCUCACCCGGCUCUAAUCACUUGACACAUAUAUCCGAGCGCUUUCCAGAAGUGCGGUUAAGCGUAUGACUAACAUCUGUCACACAGCAGUUGUUCUUUCUUUCAUCCCCUUCCUAGAGGGAAGACUGACUGUGCCAGUGUAGUCCUGGCAUUUGUAACAUAACUUAAUUAUCCAUGCUGUUUGGCGUUAAUGUCGUGAAGGGCGAGCUGCAGCCCAUCUCGUGCAAGCAGCGGCAGACCCCGAUGACUCCCCGCCGCGGGAGCAGACCAGACAGCUGGCUCGCGGGUGGCCACGUUUUGCCUUUGGCACCGAAGGCUUCCGCUCUGCCAGAAGAGAGAGUUCCUGCUGUGACUGGAACCAGCUCAAAACCAUGGCAAAGGGCAGUGUGGAGGGGUGUCCACAUCGCGAUACUUUAGAUGUCUGAUUUGACUCCCCCCAGUCAGCCUUCCGAGGCACCUAAAUCACGUGUGCUGUUAGUUGGCCUUUGUGAACAGCCCCCAAAGCCUCGCUAAGACCGAGGUGGUUGACCAAAAAUAGCUUUGGCAGCUGGGCUCUAUCCAGUUCUUCCCUGCCUUUGAUGUCCCAAGCUCAGCAAAGCCCAAGAUCUCUCUCUAAACAGUUACUACCUGAUGUAAAAAAAUCAUCCCCCAAACGAUGGGAAACAUAAGGCCAGAAGCAGCGUAGAGGCUCGGGAGGAGGGCAAGUAAUGAAGCAGGACUGGCUCGCGGGUUGGGCUGUGCUCUUGGUGCGUGCCACAGGCUAGUGCUGAACUUUGUGCAGGAUUUUUGUUUUCCUUUUGAGGGACUUGAAGGAGAACAGUUUUGUGGCUGGAUUUGGAGACUCCUCCCAAGCAUGAGGAGCAGCUCUCUGAAAAAGGUAGUACCAGCGAGCAGGGAUUGGCACCUUGGUCUGCUCGGAAGUGGGAACUAGCCUGUUGCUGUCGAAUGGCAGAAGGUACAGGACGGGAAUGGGGAAGGUCUUGAAAAUGAAGAUAGCGACGUGCCAGAGCAAGCUUUUGCUUCUGGUGUCAGGCCAGUAAAAGCCUCUAAAGAUCAACUUUGAGCUGUUUCAAAUGGCGUGAUGCCAUUUUCGGAUAACAAGUCUUCUGUUUCUGGGCAAAGCCCCCCCAGGUCAUUUCUUUGGACCGUAACCUCCUUGCGGUUGUUGCUGCCUGCUGCACUCGCAGCGCCCCUAGCCCAGGGUCGGAAACGGCCGCCCAAGGCAUCUCCUCUAGGCAUCUCCUCUAGGCUCCUAUCAGGCAGCGUCACCCAUCUCAAACCCUCGGUGCAAGCUCACCUCUUGUCCACAGAGCUUCAUAGCAUCCUUUAAGAGAAAAUGAUGUUGACAGGAGCUGGCCUCUUUAAGAGAAUGUGUUUUCCUUCCAGUAGUGCUAAUCUCAAAGGCUAAAGGAAGCAGUUGCUGUUGGGUCCCCUUCUCCUUUCCAUGUGUCUGAGGACAGCAGCGCUGGCGUUCCAGAAAGCCCUCAGGUCGCAGAAUUCGUUGUGAUCUCUGAGUCCAGUACUCCUUGAGAAAGUUUUUUAUACGUGUUGGCUAAAAACUGAUCCGGCCUCAUUCCCUCCUGAAAUUUCACAGAUUGUUUCCAAUAUGUUUUUCCAUAAAGUCGGAGUAUCUCCUAAAAUUUGCUGACAUUCUUUUAUAAGACCUUAAUACUGCAAACCAGCUCUAACAGGCUGGGCAGAUGGCAUCUUGUCAUCUUCUUUACUUUUUAAUCUACGCUCACGUCAAAUACAUUUCCAGUCACGUCUGUUCCUCUUGUCCUGGUCUUUACUGAUAAUUGCUUGACUCCUACAAGGUACAGCAAUAUCAUUUUGUCCCCCAGUUUUCAUGAGGCCUGAAGGAAUUUUCAAGUAACACGCUUGUGCUAUUUCAUCGAGAACACAACGAGCAGGAAGCUUUUAAAAUUAGAAGUUGUGGCUCGUGGCCGAGUCAGCCAUUGUCAUGUAAAAAGAGCGAGCGUGGCGUGUAGAGAAAAUCAUUUCAGCCAAGUGUACAGCAAGUGCUGUAUUAGAAUACUUAGCAGAAGUUGUGUUGUGCUACAGUGUGUAAGGAUUCAUGCGUGAACGUGAAAAUAAUCUGUAAAGAGGGCUUGAAAUAAUUCCUAGGCUUCCACUUGUCCUUUCGUUUGCCCACUGGGAAGGACAUCCUGAGAUCCGAGGGCAGAGGGUUCUUCUGGGGAUCCGAACCCCGAGCUGUCGUGCUGGGCACCGGCUUUCGUAGCCCAGCCCUGCCCCAGCACUUGGGGCCCUUUCUUCAUCUUCCACCUGCGAAGGUAAUUGCAGGUCAGUUCCUGCACCACUAAUUCUGGAUGUGGGGCAAAAAAAGGACGUGCCUUUCUGGCAGAUGGGCUCUCCUCUUGUCCCCUGCAGGCUUUGGGGGUGUUCCUCCUUCCUACAGGUCCAAGGCUUCCCUGUUGUAACGAGACUUUUCUGGAUUCUCACAUAGCUUGUAGUUACCUUCCAUCCCUCGUAUUUUAGUUGCUCCCUGUUCUCAAGAAGCAGCUGAGCGAAACUGCAGCAGUUAUCCCCGUAAAGAACUACAGUCUCAUUUUCAUGUUACUGCUGGAUGCAGGUUGCCCACAGCACAGCAGAAGCACUGAGCUAGGCUUUCAGAUUCAGGACGGCAGUGCCACCUCCAUUCAUAUCUCGGGAGAUGUUUUUGUUUUGGGAGAAGCUAAAGUUUCGGUUCUUCAGAAGAUGACAAUCUAGCCCCUUGCUCUGCUAGCUGGAAGAUCUCUCUGGUGGCCAGAAGCUGCCAUGGAAAUAAAGUCUGCAGCCUUGUGUAAAAAUCUUAGUCAUAAAAUUAUGGAUUGUUGCAGUAAAAAUACACAGAAGCAACCAUUUACAGUUGCUGUGUAUCGAAUGAAACUCGACGUGCAGUCAGCAGAUGUAUUUCUGUUUGCAAUGCAUCCACGAUAAUUACUUUCUUUUUUUCUUACAGAUUUGUGAAUACUCCCAAGAUUUUUAUAGCAAUGAUCAAAACAGAUAUUUGCAGCAGAACUGAACCGCCUCUGAGGACAGUCUGUUCGUUGAGGUGCCAGUAAACUCUGGCGCUCGGCUGCCGCCAAUUUUAGAAGAGCUUUUCCCAAGCCAGGGCUGCAGCAGGGCUGAGCUGCCAUGGUCCUGGCAAAAGCGUGGCUUGGGAUCCGUGCAGUUACCUGUGCGUGGGUAGGGUCUCCUGAGGAAAAAGCUGUGAAGGGCUGUUUGAAGGCACGUAUCCUGUAUCAUCUGCCACAGCAUUAGCCCUGGAAUAUCCAAGAUAUGCUGCUUGCUUUUCUUCUCUCUUCACCUUUUGUGGUGGGUCGGGGUUAUCCCAGUGUGCUGUUUAGACCGAGCACUGCUUCCAAGCAGUUGCGCGUUUCCUGUAUUCUUGAUUGCAUAUGCAACUGCCACAAAACUGCCUCCCUUUGAAUUUCUUCCAAACCUUAUACUCGCUGUGAUAAUCGAUAUCAGCGUGACAGAUGCGGAAGUGCUCAGCGCUCUGGCAUAGUUUAACUGUACAUGUUGCGUGGCCCAGAUUGCAGAUCAUCGUUUUGUCCAGCUAUCUGGAAAAUAUAGUAGUAUGUGGAGAUGACCGGAGGAUAUACAUCACAACACAGCUUGCAAUGAAAAAGCACUUUCUUAUCUCGGAGACCCGGUGGCAGGAGGGUUGCUAGGGCUGGCUGUCGGGUUCCUCUAAGCUCCGGUGCUUUGCAGGUUUGCAAUGGUAAGUGCUAGGGGAGGAACUAAAUGCAAGGCCCAGUGCUUAAGCUUUGGUUGACUAAAGCAAUUGCAUGUUUCUAGCUUCUAAAUGCUCACUGGAAAGUGAAUUUUGUCAAAUGGUGUCAAUAUUUAACACAUCCAUCUCCCGAAUCAUCAAAAAUUCUUACCUUAAAGUCCUUUAAAGCCUUAGCACGUCUCCUGUUGAUGUGAUCACUUUUCUUCCUCUCUGAGAUAUAAAAGGUCGGGGAGAUGAAGCCUUUUGCUGAACCAUUCCCAAAUGUUGUUUGAACUUUACUGUAGUUAGUGGUGAACUGUUACAGUUGAAGAAACUCUCUUCGGAUGUCUGCCUGCAGGCUCAGAGCUCAUGCUUCUAGUCCAGAAAUUUUAGACUACAUUUUUAUAUUAACCUCUAAAUACUGUAGAUAGCAUUUUUAAUUUGAGCAUUUAAUUAUACCCAUAACCACGUAACGUGUUUUUAUUCUCAUUCCUGGAAACAACUAAUAGCCUUGGUUCCCUCUUUCCUUGUGCUUUUGCUAACUGCUGCAGCCAAUAAGUCGUAUAGGACACAAAGAUACAUGGUUGGCUUUAUUUUUUUUAUUUAUUUUUUUCCCCAGCAGCUGUUUUCCUCUCUGUCUCUUCGGUAUGCUUCAGCCUUAACCAUUCCCAUUGCUAAAGGCGUCCUGUUCUGCAGCAGUCACGUGCCUGUGCAGCUAUCGCAUGGACGUUGGGGGUUUGGGAGAUGUUAACUGUAAACGGAGGCAGGUUCUUGUCGCGUUUUGGGUCACGCGGCAGCAAAACAGUGGUUAUUCAGCCGCACAGUGGUUCCAGCUCAUCCCUUCUGUGCUCGUUCUCAUGUCGAGCCGGGUUGCACAAAUCAGUUACCCAGGGCAGAUUUGAUCAUGGACUAAGUGUAAGCGAGCUGGCUGCGAGCUGGUAUCAGGUAGUGUGCAACGUCUUGCUUGUAGUCAGCGUAAAACAGCUUCCCCAGGGAGGAGCGUUACUGCGUGUGCUACAAGUACUGCUUGGAGCUUAGACUCCUGCUUCUCACCGCAGCUGGAUGUUGUGGCUGGAUCCUUUGUUAUGUGCAACCUUAAUUUUGUUUCAUUUUUGUUUCCUUGAAUGCAGAAAUAGGCUGUAGCCUGGAAGUGCACAUCUUAAGCUAAACAUUGCCAGGAUUUCAUUGUCCUCAGGACAUUGAAAUUAGCUGCAGAAUAACUGGAGUCACCUUUCUGCGCGCGUAACUGUGAGUCCCUUCCGCAUCAGUUUGUACAACAACCCACGGGAGUGGUGUGAGUUAGUAAAUCCAGGUAUGUGGCAUGAGCAUUUUGGGGGUGUCAGGAAGGGCUCUCAUACCCCUGUGGCCCCCCUGAUUAUGUUGUCACUGCCUGAGCCUCAGCAUGGCACCGCGAAGGCUCUGCCCGCAGAGGAGAUGAGUGCCCUGGCCCGUCUGAGCUCCCGUUGUGGCAGUGCCUGGCGAUCCAGGGAGCCACCAGGACAAAGGACGAUCAGGGACUGCCUGCGGGACCCGGCUCAAAGCGGCAGCGAGGGGAAAGCGUUCCCGCUGCCCUCUGAAAACGUAAAGGACAAGAAGGGGCUGGAGGAGGAGCUGGGCUGUACCUUCACGAGAGAUUUCCCCUCAUCUACAGCUUUUGGGGGGCUUCUCUGCCACUAUCCCUGUUGUUGUUAACUGGGACAAAAGGCAAGAGGCAACUGAUCCUGAAAUCCAGCAUUGCAUCAACCUGGUGAGCUAAGAGCAGCCACAAAGACCCAGGAGGCCCUGAGUCACAGCCAUCUGGAUAGAGAAACCUGAGCUAGGCAAGGGAUCGCUUCCCACAUGUAUUGCAAAUCACGAUAUCACUACACAGGGAAGACAAAAACAACUCUCUUCUGGGUACUGCAAGAGCCCAACUGUUUUAACCUUCCUUGGCUGUCUCGUGGGAUUUUCAUUCUUUCCUGGUACUCAAGAAAAGCAUCUGCUCCGGAGAGCGUACAGACUUUUCUGUCCUUUGGAGCUGAACGUGCCAACAUACAGUCAGCAUGUAAGCUUGCUGCAUCCCAUGUGCUCGAUAGCAUUUUCUGCUUACACCAGCACAGCCAUUCCUCAGCUCUGUCUUAGCUUUGAGCUAAGAAGCGAUAAGUUUCUUCUAGCUAUCUAUCUUGUAAGAAGAGGAGGUGCUGGAGUAAUCCAACAAACAUAUUAACGCAUGUUGUCAGCUUUUAGCUAUGCAUGGGUUGUGGGAGCUGUUGGUCAAGACACGUUGCAGAGACUUGUUUAAAAAACAGCCUAAAACUGCCCUGCUGUCUUGUUUAUUUUGCAGUGUAUGUUUUAUGCUGGUAGGUGGGUGUCCCAAGGAAACUCGCACCCCACAGUGGAGGUGUCCGUUUAGUCCUUCCUGCAGCAGCAGAAGCAAACUGCGGUUUAACCUGUUGCUUUUCUGAACAAACCUCCUUUCUACUCUUAGGAGACAGCCUCUAAAGUCAGGAUAACCUCCAGAGGUGUGCUUAUUCCUUUUUAGAUGAUCCGCAGUGUCACAAGGUUUCAACAGCAGGCGCAGCUCCUGAAAACUGCUGCCAUUUCCAGGCUGACCAAAGAAUGGGAAAGGACUGCAGUUCCACGCCUGGCAAAGAAACGGUCAUUUUUGCUGGCUCAUCUCUAACGGAGCAACAGGAGCUCAGGUUUAAAAGAUGACAUGUCCAAAGUAUUUCUGCAAGCCCCUGAAAAACAGAUACAGAAAGUCACAGGAACAGGCCUUUGAAACACAAGCAAGAGGUAAGAGUGAAGGCUGAGCCAUGGCUUGCACUUCAUGGACCCUUCUGGAGAGCACGCCAGCUCUCCGGGGGAGGACUGGGCUGCUGCCUGUGUUGUCUGUCUCUAAACUUACUUCUGAGAUACACUCCUAAGUGCUCUCCAGCAGAGAUAUGCUGUUUCCUUACCCCUUCUGUACUGCAGGAGAAAAGCCUGAACUGGGAGAUCUUGACAACGUGAAGUGUGGAGAACGCAGUGGAUCUCCCUCCAUAGGGCUACUUUUCACUCAACGUUCACAAAUUUCAGUGACGUAUAAAGCGCAACCUUGUCCAUGCACUGCUCUUUGCUUUUAGGCUCUAAUGAAUUUUAACUUUGCAUAGUGAAGCACUUGCUCACAAGCAGUGCAUUUCCGUUUUAAAAUAGAGGAAAAUCAAAGAAGAAUCUUCAUUAAAAUGCCACUAAAACGCUUGUUUUCAGAGCCUGCAAGGUGCGCUGGAACAACACCCGGGGCAAGUUUGCACUGCAGCUUUUGAGCACCGAGGUGAGUAUAGCAAAUGCAGUGAAAGCCAUGCUGGCACACGGGGCUCUUUGUCCAAGCUGAGACCCUUGAACUGUCGCAGUAUGCCCUGCAGUAGUCCUCUCUGGUUGUUUGAGACCUGUGCCAACCUCUUCUUCGCCAUGCUGGGGAGGCCGUAGAUGCUGUGCAAAAGAGGACAAGCAAGAGGAUAAGCACGGGAUAUUUUUCACUUGCUCCAGGCUCCUCCAGUCUUUCAGUCUUCCAAGAGCGUGUUUUGCUGUCAUUCUUGCAAAUACUCAGGCUGCAGUUCUCCUGUCCAACUCACCAGUCAAAGUCUUGGCAAACUGAGCAGUCCAGGUAAGCUGCGUGACGGAACACCAUGAGGCAAAAUGGUACCAGUUUCAGAAAAUGCGACUCCCAGGGAAAUUUUGGCUUGAGGUAGCAGGAGCAUAUGGUUUUCUAAAUUCGUUCCCAGAGGGGCUUCACUUCAACCUCACACCAAAGGUUUCCCAGCUUUCUAGCCAAGCAGUUCAUUUUCUAAAACAAGAGAAAUCAGCAGUUUUGUGCUAGCAAUGCUUGGAGUUAUCUUUUACCAGUGAAGGAAUCCUCUCCGUCUCGUUCGAAUUUUGCAUAAAUGCAGAAACUACUGUGUAAGAAGAGUUGUAAUAUUGAGACAGGGGAGAUCAGAACACAGCAUUCCUCUGGAUAUAGUUUGAUGCAAUUUUGAGCUACUUACAGAAGAUUGGCUGAAAGGUAAACUGAUUAGGGCAAAAAAAAAAAAAAAAAGCUGUGCUAUUAAACUAUGUUAGUGAUUCCUUAGUUUGGAAUAGCUUUUUCAUGAUCUCAGACAUCUAGGACAGAUGCGCAUAUUUUUCAUGUCAGAAUGAAGGUGCAACUAGCCAGCAGCUCUUGUGUUUGCAAAGCCGGCGUCCUGCUAUGAAUCUCAUCUCAGUCCGUUGACUGCAGAGCCCUCUGACUUUGACCUUCCUGUGUACAAGUUGCACCCCGGGUACAUGUGAUAAAUGCCAAGGCGGGUAUGGUGUGGAGAGCUGUGCUUUGGGAGCCGUUGGCCAGCUGUUGAUCGCCAGCUGUUGUAAAGGAUGCUGCGGCGUUUUGUGCAGCAGAAAAACUGAUUCUUGAUUCCUGGUUGGAUUUCAGGUUAGGGGAUUGUUUUCUGCCAAGCUAAACUCCCCCCCACAGUUUCAGCUGUACGUUGCUCCCUUUCUAUUCCAGUGGCACCAUUAUGCACUGGUCAUCAGCUGCUGCAUUUAAUCUCAGAAGCUGUAGUUGGUAGCAAGCAAAGUGAUCUCCAUAUAACCUCUGUCUUACUCAUAAGCGUGCAUUAUGAAGCUUAACCGAUGGUAAUAAAAUGUUUCGCUUUCAACAUGCAGUCCCUGUGGUCCAAUGUUCCCGUUAUUACAGAAGCGCAAUGUAUUAGAAUUAUUCUGCUGCCCCCAAGUUUCUCAGGAACGUGUCUCGUAAUGUUGGGUGCAGGCAUCAACUUCUAGCAGUGCAUGUGAAUAUCCUGGUAGGACUAGGUAACGCUGAGCAGCCGUAAAGUGAUAUUUUAUCUUUUUGGCCUCAGAAAAGUAACUGCAAAUGCUCCAAACGGCGUUGUUCUUUGGCAAAGGCUGGUAUCUUCACGGCCGAGACGCAGGCACUGACACGGGCGGACGUGCUAAGGCUCUUGGUAUCUCCCUUGCUUGUGACCCGCUCUGGCAGGUUUCAGUCUGGCUGCAGUAGUCUCACGGUACAAUUUUGUGUUAGUGCCUCUUCCGAGCCUCCUGUGGUAUAUGGGUGAAGAGAAAUGUAUUGUUUCCCACUGCUUUGCACACCUUCUGCUUGCCUUUUUUUCACCCCUUCUUGAACUACUCCAAAGAGUCAUUGUUUUAUAACAGUUUUUUAUUUCAACUGUGUACAAAAAAAGAUGGGUUUAUAUCAUCCUGCACGAAGGAUAUUUUUGUGCAGGAAAAAAAAAAAGAUGUUUCUCAUCUCUAUUUAAGUAACCGUACCACACGCAGAAAGUCAGAAGCCUGUUUGUGGAAUUUCAGUUUGGUUAACGCAUCAUCGACGCUUUUCUUGAAAGCAUCUUUUCUUUUAAAAAUAACUUAAACCUCAUACGAUUUUUUGUUCCCCGAAACUGAAAGCACGAAUCUCCACGUCUCAUUUUUGUACUGUGGGUUGAGUUAAACCUACAGCUGGUGGGUUUUUUUGUUUUUUUUUUUUUUUUGAGUUGGGCGCAGUUUCCCAUGCGUGAAGCUUGUGGAAGGCAGUUCCCAAGUGUGAGUGUGUACAGAAGAUGGAUGAUGAUUUCUUCCCGGAAUUGGCCUUCCGCUGUAAGGUCUGGUUUUCUGCUGUGCUAAUUCACAUAUAAUUAGAAAUGGCCCUGCGUUUGCGUUACGCCUCUGAUACUGUGUGAUCUUGGGUCGCUUUUCACUGUGUCUGGGAAUCACUUUAUUCACCCCUGAAAGUCUGCGUUUAAUUGCGGCAUACAGAUACCUGCAGGCUUCGAUGCAGCAAAAGCCUCUGCAUCCAAAAAUAAAGCGUUGCUUCUAAGAUGCUUUCAAAUUGGUCCUAUUUUUGGAGGCAGGAGAAGUUGCCAAGAUUAUUUACAUGAAAAUCUGGUGCGCUGACUGAGGCACGAUUUCACUCAUUUCUUAAAAAAACAGCUCUGAGCAGAGCUUGAGCUGAAGGUAAGACCAUGAGCUAACACACUCUCCUGUGAGAAAGGAACAUUCAAUAAAAAGACCUGGAAAAUGAGCAAUUUGGGUACUGCAGUUUCCACACUAGCAAGUUUUCAGUACAUGCAAUGUUUGGGUUUGGUCUCCAUUUUGACGCCCGCGUUACUGGAAAGCAGUGUUCUCCAGGCGUCUCCGGAUAUAAGAAGUUAUGACAUGGUAAUAUAUGAUCACCCAGUGUCACGAGAUCGACACAUUGCAUUUGAUAAGAGCAGUCACGGAAAACGCUGCCUUGCCCAACGAGAUGCACAGCGGUCGCUUUUUGUCCUGGAAGACUCCAGCAUCGUUUACCUUAAAGCAGUAUCGUGAAAGUGCAGACACUUUUCCCCCGGUCCGUGAAAACGUUGACAGCUUUAAACCGAAAUGGACCUCUGCAAACACAAAGCGCAUUUCAAACCGUUGUGCUCAGUCCCAAAGCGAUUCACAAAAGGGGCAAAGCGCUGCCGAAUGCAAGCAGGAGCCUCAGAUGGCAAACUCUGGCAGGUGAGCACUUCUGUUUCGAAAGGAGCUUUCCCCGAAAAAAGAUUUGCAUUGGGAUCGCGUGCCCCAGGUGUGGGGCAGCCGGUUGUUUCCUCGGCAAACGCUCGGGAUGGUUGAUCACGACGCACGUUGUGUUUGUGAGGGCCUGGGAAGGCAUUUGGGAUGUUCAGUGACCGUUUUCUUGGUGCCUACUGAAGCAUAUUGAGGAGUGCAGGUCUGCCCCCCCCCUUUUUUUUUAGGGCCCUUUCUUUU